rnacentral:rRNA from 1 species
UGAUUGGUGCUUGCAUCAUGAUUUACAUUUGAGCGAGUGGCGAACUGGUGAGUAACACGUGGGAAACCUGCCCAGAAGCGGGGGAUAACACCUGGAAACAGAUGCUAAUACCGCAUAACAACUUGGACCGCAUGGUCCGAGUUUGAAAGAUGGCUUCGGCUAUCACUUUUGGAUGGUCCCGCGGCGUAUUAGCUAGAUGGUGAGGUAACGGCUCACCAUGGCAAUGAUACGUAGCCGACCUGAGAGGGUAAUCGGCCACAUUGGGACUGAGACACGGCCCAAACUCCUACGGGAGGCAGCAGUAGGGAAUCUUCCACAAUGGACGAAAGUCUGAUGGAGCAACGCCGCGUGAGUGAAGAAGGGUUUCGGCUCGUAAAACUCUGUUGUUAAAGAAGAACAUAUCUGAGAGUAACUGUUCAGGUAUUGACGGUAUUUAACCAGAAAGCCACGGCUAACUACGUGCCAGCAGCCGCGGUAAUACGUAGGUGGCAAGCGUUGUCCGGAUUUAUUGGGCGUAAAGCGAGCGCAGGCGGUUUUUUAAGUCUGAUGUGAAAGCCUUCGGCUCAACCGAAGAAGUGCAUCGGAAACUGGGAAACUUGAGUGCAGAAGAGGACAGUGGAACUCCAUGUGUAGCGGUGAAAUGCGUAGAUAUAUGGAAGAACACCAGUGGCGAAGGCGGCUGUCUGGUCUGUAACUGACGCUGAGGCUCGAAAGUAUGGGUAGCAAACAGGAUUAGAUACCCUGGUAGUCCAUACCGUAAACGAUGAAUGCUAAGUGUUGGAGGGUUUCCGCCCUUCAGUGCUGCAGCUAACGCAUUAAGCA